rnacentral:lncRNA from 1 species
AACUGAGAAGUACAGGACGUAAAACACUUGUCCCAACAAGAUAUGAUAUUGAAAAAUUACAAGAUCAUAAAGUAAAAUAUGCAUUCAUCCUCCAAUUGAAGAAUAAGUUUCAAGCUCUGACAGAUAAUCCCGACAUGAUCCCAGCAGAAACAACAGAAGUCAACUCAAAAUGGGAUCAAAUAAGAACAAUAUACGAAACAACUAGCAAAGAAUGUUUGGGUUUUAAACAGGG